CACCUUCCGCCAUUCGUCUUCCCACCCCCAGCACUGUCCUGCCCAGACGCCAGCCUAGGGAGGGGUGAGGAGGAGGCUGCACUGGCGCUCGGGUCGCCGCACCGCCCCGCAGCCUCGCGCUCUCCGCAGUGACAGCAACCACAACCGCAGCAGCACCCAGCUCCAUCCUCACCAGCCUGGCUGAGCUACAGCCCGGCAAUUCGGGCUGAGGACGACAAGCAGAAGGUGUGCAAGUGCCCCCGAGCUCCCCACUCCAUUGACCGAAGCUCAAGAAACCGGGAGUGGGCUAGCGGCGGUAUUGCACGGAGGGGACUGAGAAAAAGAGGACUGGAGACCAUGAAGCUAUUCAGGCAGGGGUAGGAUUGAGCCCCCCGAGUCCACCCAGAGGACUUUGGCAGGGUCUGGGGCGGCCAGGGUGGCUUCAAGGGAUCGGAGGGCUCUGACCACUGCAGAUGCGGCGCGUGUGGGUGCGGUGAAAGCACCCACUUCUCCCAGGAUCUAAACGGAUAAACGGAAGCGAGUAUGUGGCUUCUCUUAGCUGAAUAAUCCGUUAAAGGAAUAAUAAUUUUUAAAAAGGACCUCGGCCUCACCCAACGAGGACAGUGAAGGAGAUCAGCUCUUGGUAAGACUAAAAGAAAAGGCACUAAAUUCUCUGCGUCCCUCUCUCUGUCUUCCUCUCAAUCCCCUCACCCCCUCCCCCUCUCUUCUCUCCUCACCCCCCCCCCUUUCUCCCCCAUCCCCUGCAAUCCGCACUCGACGCGAGUUCACGCGCAGGGCUGGAUUUCCAAGCUGCACUGCAACUUCUCAGCGCGUUAUUAUUAUUCAUCUGAGGGUGCAGCCUCUGCAACCUUCGCCUCCUGCGCUAGCAUCCUUCCCCCUCGACCGCGGCCACCAGCAGAGCGGUUUCUUCUGCACGCGUGCUCUGGUUCACCAGAGGAGGAUUCUGGCUUUUUGCUUUUUUGUUUUGGUGGUUUGGUUCGGUUUGGG
rnacentral:lncRNA from 1 species